rnacentral:rRNA from 1 species
UUAAGCGACUAAGCGUACACGGUGGAUGCCCUGGCAGUCAGAGGCGAUGAAGGACGUGCUAAUCUGCGAUAAGCGUCGGUAAGGUGAUAUGAACCGUUAUAACCGGCGAUUUCCGAAUGGGGAAACCCAGUGUGAUUCGUCACACUAUCAUUAACUGAAUCCAUAGGUUAAUGAGGCGAACCGGGGGAACUGAAACAUCUAAGUACCCCGAGGAAAAGAAAUCAACCGAGAUUCCCCCAGUAGCGGCGAGCGAACGGGGAGCAGCCCAGAGCCUGAAUCAGUGUGUGUGUUAGUGGAAGCGUCUGGAAAGGCGCGCGAUACAGGGUGACAGCCCCGUACACAAAAAUGCACAUGCUGUGAGCUCGAUGAGUAGGGCGGGACACGUGGUAUCCUGUCUGAAUAUGGGGGGACCAUCCUCCAAGGCUAAAUACUCCUGACUGACCGAUAGUGAACCAGUACCGUGAGGGAAAGGCGAAAAGAACCCCGGCGAGGGGAGUGAAAAAGAACCUGAAACCGUGUACGUACAAGCAGUGGGAGCCUCUUUAUGGGGUGACUGCGUACCUUUUGUAUAAUGGGUCAGCGACUUAUAUUCUGUAGCAAGGUUAACCGAAUAGGGGAGCCGAAGGGAAACCGAGUCUUAACUGGGCGUUAAGUUGCAGGGUAUAGACCCGAAACCCGGUGAUCUAGCCAUGGGCAGGUUGAAGGUUGGGUAACACUAACUGGAGGACCGAACCGACUAAUGUUGAAAAAUUAGCGGAUGACUUGUGGCUGGGGGUGAAAGGCCAAUCAAACCGGGAGAUAGCUGGUUCUCCCCGAAAGCUAUUUAGGUAGCGCCUCGUGAAUUCAUCUCCGGGGGUAGAGCACUGUUUCGGCAAGGGGGUCAUCCCGACUUACCAACCCGAUGCAAACUGCGAAUACCGGAGAAUGUUAUCACGGGAGACACACGGCGGGUGCUAACGUCCGUCGUGAAGAGGGAAACAACCCAGACCGCCAGCUAAGGUCCCAAAGUCAUGGUUAAGUGGGAAACGAUGUGGGAAGGCCCAGACAGCCAGGAUGUUGGCUUAGAAGCAGCCAUCAUUUAAAGAAAGCGUAAUAGCUCACUGGUCGAGUCGGCCUGCGCGGAAGAUGUAACGGGGCUAAACCAUGCACCGAAGCUGCGGCAGCGACGCUGAUGCGUUGUUGGGUAGGGGAGCGUUCUGUAAGCCUGUGAAGGUGUGCUGUGAGGCAUGCUGGAGGUAUCAGAAGUGCGAAUGCUGACAUAAGUAACGAUAAAGCGGGUGAAAAGCCCGCUCGCCGGAAGACCAAGGGUUCCUGUCCAACGUUAAUCGGGGCAGGGUGAGUCGACCCCUAAGGCGAGGCCGAAAGGCGUAGUCGAUGGGAAACAGGUUAAUAUUCCUGUACUUGGUGUUACUGCGAAGGGGGGACGGAGAAGGCUAUGUUGGCCGGGCGACGGUUGUCCCGGUUUAAGCGUGUAGGCUGGUUUUCCAGGCAAAUCCGGAAAAUCAAGGCUGAGGCGUGAUGACGAGGCACUACGGUGCUGAAGCAACAAAUGCCCUGCUUCCAGGAAAAGCCUCUAAGCAUCAGGUAACAUCAAAUCGUACCCCAAACCGACACAGGUGGUCAGGUAGAGAAUACCAAGGCGCUUGAGAGAACUCGGGUGAAGGAACUAGGCAAAAUGGUGCCGUAACUUCGGGAGAAGGCACGCUGAUAUGUAGGUGAAGUCCCUCGCGGAUGGAGCUGAAAUCAGUCGAAGAUACCAGCUGGCUGCAACUGUUUAUUAAAAACACAGCACUGUGCAAACACGAAAGUGGACGUAUACGGUGUGACGCCUGCCCGGUGCCGGAAGGUUAAUUGAUGGGGUUAGCGGUAACGCGAAGCUCUUGAUCGAAGCCCCGGUAAACGGCGGCCGUAACUAUAACGGUCCUAAGGUAGCGAAAUUCCUUGUCGGGUAAGUUCCGACCUGCACGAAUGGCGUAAUGAUGGCCAGGCUGUCUCCACCCGAGACUCAGUGAAAUUGAACUCGCUGUGAAGAUGCAGUGUACCCGCGGCAAGACGGAAAGACCCCGUGAACCUUUACUAUAGCUUGACACUGAACAUUGAGCCUUGAUGUGUAGGAUAGGUGGGAGGCUUUGAAGUGUGGACGCCAGUCUGCAUGGAGCCGACCUUGAAAUACCACCCUUUAAUGUUUGAUGUUCUAACGUUGACCCGUAAUCCGGGUUGCGGACAGUGUCUGGUGGGUAGUUUGACUGGGGCGGUCUCCUCCUAAAGAGUAACGGAGGAGCACGAAGGUUGGCUAAUCCUGGUCGGACAUCAGGAGGUUAGUGCAAUGGCAUAAGCCAGCUUGACUGCGAGCGUGACGGCGCGAGCAGGUGCGAAAGCAGGUCAUAGUGAUCCGGUGGUUCUGAAUGGAAGGGCCAUCGCUCAACGGAUAAAAGGUACUCCGGGGAUAACAGGCUGAUACCGCCCAAGAGUUCAUAUCGACGGCGGUGUUUGGCACCUCGAUGUCGGCUCAUCACAUCCUGGGGCUGAAGUAGGUCCCAAGGGUAUGGCUGUUCGCCAUUUAAAGUGGUACGCGAGCUGGGUUUAGAACGUCGUGAGACAGUUCGGUCCCUAUCUGCCGUGGGCGCUGGAGAACUGAGGGGGGCUGCUCCUAGUACGAGAGGACCGGAGUGGACGCAUCACUGGUGUUCGGGUUGUCAUGCCAAUGGCACUGCCCGGUAGCUAAAUGCGGAAGAGAUAAGUGCUGAAAGCAUCUAAGCACGAAACUUGCCCCGAGAUGAGUUCUCCCUGACCCUUUAAGGGUCCUGAAGGAACGUUGAAGACGACGACGUUGAUAGGCCGGGUGUGUAAGCGCAGCGAUGCGUUGAGCUAACCGGUACUAAUGAACCGUGAGGCUUAACCUU